rnacentral:misc_RNA from 1 species
AAGUCGUAACAAGGUUUCCGUAGGUGAACCUGCGGAAGGAUCAUUAACACGAUACAAAUCGUAUCAACCAAAACGUGCUCUUGUUGUUAAUCUCUGGUUGUAAUUGUAGAGUUAAAAGCUUAGUGUGUUGAGGAUAAAAGCACUAAGUGAAGGAUUGAGUUUUGCAGCAAUGCAGGAUUCAGUUCAAGCUUUACAGUUAUUUCCUUAGGUUUAAAAACCCCAUUUUAUCCUCAUUUAUUAACCACAUUAACCCCCUUAACAUACAACUUUGUACUGACAAACAUUUUCUAGCUCGAAAGGGUAAGAAAAUUAAAAAACGCUGUACAACUCUUAGCAAUGGAUAUCUUGGUUCUC